rnacentral:lncRNA from 1 species
UCUAAAAUAAAGCUAGACAGGUAAAAUGUUCAUAUCUAAAAUGACACGUUAGUUAAUUUUUCUUUGAGCUCAUACUAUAUAAUAGGUAUAUUUCUUUCUUCCGUUUUUGACUUUAAAAUGAAAUGUUAUAAAUAGGAUUUUAGUGAAGUAUUUACAAUUAAAUAGUUAUAAAGGGUAGUUCUUUUCAACGUUUUCAAUUUUCUCUGACCUCAUCUCAUACCCCUACAAAACCUGUUUUAAUACAAACACACGCUAAUGGAGAGUAUGUCCCGUUACGAAUGUUACUCUAUUAUGUCAGUUACUCAGCAUGUUUCCAUACAAUAACAUACUCCUGGUUUUUUUAAUCAACAACACAAAUGUUGUGCACUUUUAUGUAUUUUGUGCAAUUUAAAUGAAAAAUAGACAACACAUUUUUGGCUUUAGCUGUUUAGAGUGCUACUUGAGUCAUCCAAAAAUUCAGAUAACGUGUUAAGCAAGAUAGUUAAAACCCACUAAAGAUAAUAUCCUGGAAGCCUUGUGACUUGGAAGUGGCCAAAAUUGUACAAAGUCCAGUUUUUGAGGAAAAUAAACAAAAAAAUUGAAAAAAAUCUCGGCCAAUCAAUGAAUAUAAUAGCUGACAGUAUCGACGUAGCGUCCCGUUCAACUGUAAAUUGUGUCAUCAAUGAAUACUCACGGUACCUCAGCUAUGCCCUUUGCAUAGUUGAGCCUUUAACCCCGUCAAACAAGGAGAAAAGGUUUACCUGAACCAAAGUUUUUAUCAAGCUAAAACAAAAGCCUUCCGAGAAAGAUUUUGUCUGGUUCUUUUCAGGUGAUAAAAAAUUAUGUCAAACUCAGAAGCAUAAUCUGAAGAACAAUAGAUGGUUGGUGAAAAGGCAUUAUAAUGUCCCUAGAAUCAUGAAGGUCAAGUUCCAAACGCAAGUUGUGGUUCUUGGCGUUGUAAGCAGUGAAGGUCACGUUAUGCCACCCUUCAUUUUCAAACGGGGUCUGAAGGUUAACAUCAAGGUCUAUAUCAGUAUUACGUGUGCCUCUAGAUCUAGAUUUGGACAUUAAACAGAAAAACGAACGGCCUUCACUCUUUCCGUUCGUUAUUGAAGAAAUGAACGACGAACAGAAAACAGAUAUACGAUGAAUGGGGAAAAAAAUAUGAACGGAUUUCAUUUUCUUAUUGUCCCUAAGAUGUAGCUUUUUGAAUAUUUUUUUAAUUACAAUUAUUAUCCUUGAGGGUGGCUAAAAUAUCAUUUAUUUAUUCUAAUUUUUUUUACAAUCCGUUGCUUCGUUUAAUCACACUAUUCACUAGAAAAUAAGUCAUCUAAAGAUAUCCUUCAAAAUCCCAAAUAUAAUAUAAUGGAUCAAAUAAAAGGUCCAGUAAAGAUGGAGCUUCACAAAGAAAAUAUUUUUUUAUUUUGAAACGGAAAAACAGUGUCAUGCUUAUCGCUGAUAUGAAGAAAUAUAUUUCUUUAUCUGAAAUCAAACUUCAUAUAAUGAUAGACGAGUUGUUAAUGAAACAAUAAAUAAAGUUAUCACUA